GGGUUGAACAAUGCCUGCACUGAUUCCUAACUGACACACUUUCUUGGAGUGUAGAAACCACCUCGGCCCACAUGUGCCCGUUUUUGUGGGCUUUGGUGUGUUUUUGUGGCAUGCAGACCUGACCUCCAAUCGACAGAGCCUGUGGCGCCUUCUUCGACGGCUUUCCAAACUGCACAAUUUUCGCCUACGCCGGGUGAAAGAGUCUGGCCAAGAUGCUGGCUGGAGAGGAGGAAUCGGAGUCGGAGGCGGAGGAGUUGGGCUGCCCAGUCCAUAAAUGGACACACACGAUCCGUGGAGUACAGUCCACAAAACCCCAUGCGGCCAUAAAUGGAGCUGGCCAUUAGAAAGUGGUCGUGGUGCUGGUGGUGGUGGUGACCUUUUGGACGCUUCGAUGAUUUGACUAACUGCCUUGCAGACCCUUUCUUCUCCCUUUCUGGAGGUUACGUAAUGAUGAUUAAGCCGUGUCUGGGAUCCGCUGCAAAACAAUCAAUCAUAAAAGGGCAGCGUCUAACGGAAAUACCGAGAUAUAUUUGUAAAUUCAAGAACAGAGCGAGGGCAUGAGGUGCGUACAGCAGGUUUUCCCUGGUUUUGGUCUCCACUCCAAGUUCGGGUUCUUACAAUUCUAAUUUAUAUGAUUUUUACGUAGCUAUCCGGCGGAAGUAAACCUUGGUCGGUGUUGCCGUCUUCGCCACUUCGGUUGCUUCUGCCACUUCUUCUUGGCCGUGUGUUUAUUUGUGUUGUAAAUUGCGAAUGCGCCCCAAAGCAACAACAAAAGGGGGAAAAACAUAACGCGCAGUCGCGCACUUCAAUAAACAACAGGAGGAACAGCACAACAGCCACAACAACUAUAUAUACUUGGGCAUUAGUUGCCGCUGCCAUUGCGUACGUGCCCGGACCCGGCGUCGCCAUCUCUAUGCACAGAAAAAAUAAUAUAUUUUAAUGGGUAAAGUCACUUUAAGUCCAUUUUUCCAUUAUACAUCUGAUCUUGCUGUGAGUAUCGUUCAAAGUAAGAAGUUUAAGACAGGGAGUCACCAACUGUAUUUAAACUAUUAUUAAUCUAAUUUUAAACUUUUUCAUUACUUUGAAGAAAUUCUUUGGCUCUAUUUUAUUUUGUUUAAGCUUUUCUGUCACUAUGAAAAUUUGGCGUAAAUCAUCUCGAACACUUAAAAAAUCUGGUAUUAUUAAAGGCUUAUAACUUUUUUAAAUGUACUCCAAGCCAAAUAAUACAUCAUGACAAGCCUGUGAACUUUAUUGGUGCGUUUCUCUUAAUAUUUCUGUAAACCCAAACAAGUAACUUUAAAUAUUUCUUUCUCUGCAGCCAUCACCAGCGAAUGUGGAUGGUUUCUUUGGGUUUACCACUGACAAAGACGACAACCACGCAUCGUAAAAAGUGUUUUAUGCAAUUGCCGCUUUGGUUUUGGCUGCGAUGUGGUUGUGGCUGUGUUUGCCUAUUGUAUAAUAGCCCCAUGUGUGUGCGUGUGCGGUAUGUGCUCUGCAUAAUUUUAUGAUUCGCCCGCCAUCAGUUCCUGCAACUCAAGCCAACUCGAAAAACCAUGUCCAUUGGCGAUUUCUCCUCUUCCUCAGACAUUUUUUUUGUUUGUCAGGAGACGCGUGGGCGAUGGAGUGCAUGAGCUUGUGCAUGUGGAUUUGAUGCAUUGAUUGAAUUUAACGCAGCGCAAUUUGGGCCCAACGCUCUUGACCAGAAGGGCCAAAGUCGAGCCACAAUGGCCCAGCGUGAGUCAGGCGGAGAUGUGCUAUGUGGUGACUAUGUGACUGGAAUCGCAAUCGGAAUGCCGCGACGGAUGAGCCGAGGAUGGUCGAUGGCCGAUGGUCGAUGGUAAAGAAAAUUAAAAUCAAAUAAAAUAAGUCAACGUUACAUUACCCGAACAACUAAUCGAAUAACUGACAAGUUUGCCUUGAAUCCUAAGUAUGUUAAUUACAAACGUUUUAAGAUGAGUAAAGACCCUUGUCUGAACAGGCACUCUAUGAACUGCACUUAACUGAAGGGAAAUUCCGAAUACAACUCUAAAAUACAUUUAUUUUUUCUAUCUUCCCAGCCUAAACAAACUUGGCGUUGAAGUUGUGUUACCCGUUCAUGCUAUGGGCAUUCCUGAAUUGCUAAAACAAGCGAUACCGCAACAGCUGCAACAAGUGCAGUCGUCGGCGGCGGCGGCUAAUUUCAUGCAGCAAAAGCGGCAGUGCAACAGCAACAAAAACAACAACAGCGAAAAACCCACACGCGUCGUCUACACUUGGCAUAGUUAACACAUUUAAUGGAAAACCAACAAAACAUCAGUAUUUAUGAUGCAGCCAGGCGAUCUAGAGGCGCCAGGCCCUGCUGUCCGCCGGUUGUGGCUUUAUUAAGUUGCUGUUGUUGUCUGUUUUUAUUAAUAAGUCAUAUUUUUAUAUGGUUCAGCUCGGCUCGGAGCAAAACAGAAGCGGCAGCUUGAUAAUUUAUGUUGUUCGCCGAAGCGCCGAAGCAGGAUGACAAAAGUGGCUGCAAGAGCAGCAGCUGGACCAAGGGCAACCAGAGCCAGGGGCGCCCACAUUCAUACGUGGGCUUGUUCAUAAGUCACUCACUCACUCAUUCACUCACUCACUUACAAUCAUUCAUAAACUUUAAGAAAAAAAGCUCAAAAAGCGAAGCUCAUUUUGUGAUUAAUUAAAUGCAACUUGGCUGGUUGUUGUGAUUAUUAUUAUAGAGUUGGCUGUUGAAAAAACUGUGCCACUGCAAGAGACAUGCAACAGGUAGCUAUGAUGUAAGUGUUUUAUGGCUAUUUGCAGGUUUUUAUUGCUUUGCCAACUACAACCACUAUUCCGUUUUUCUUUGUGUAUUUACUUUUUCGGUUAGCAGUGGGCGAAAGUUUGUUGCCUAAGUCUUUCAUUGUGAUGCACUUUGCACCUGACCAAAGCUGAGCCAGAAAACAACUCAGACGUGGCCGCCGAUUGGCCGCGUGAUAUCCCCCGAAAACUGUGUCAAAGCACUAACUACACUAAAUUAUUUACUCAUUUGUGGGAGAAAAAAAAAUUCGCAUAAAUAUAAUUGCGGGGAAAACAGCGAAAACACGAUGAAAAAAUUCGCAAAAUUCCAAUAAAUAGUUCAAGCAUUGCGUAAGCGCUUAAACAUCUAAUUUCUAUUUCAGUUUUCGUGAUGAAAAAGUUGCAUGGCGUCAACGAAUUAAGCAAAUAGCUAUAGGAAUUGCUGCUAAUUUCAAUGCGAGUUAUUUAUCUAUUUUUCGCUUUUUGCCGGCACAGUUUUCACUACUGUGCGCCCACACACAGCUGUUCAAAUGCUUGGAGAAUUGCACAAAUAUAUGAUGGGAUUGAGGGUU